GAGGGUAUAGCUCGGUGGUAGAGCACGUGCUUAGCAUGCACGAGAUCCUGGGUUCAAUCCCCAGUACUGCCA
rnacentral:tRNA from 1 species